UUGGUCAGCGACUUCUCCGUCUGCGGGGCGGCGGGGCGGGAGAAAGAGAGCGGGUUGCAGCGGGACCGCGCCGAGCCCGCUCCGCCGAAGCGAGGCGGAGGGGCCCCGGCCCCGAACGCGGCACCCCCCGGCGCCCCGCGCCGAAACCCCCGCGCCCCCCUUACCUUGCACAAGAAGUCGAUGUCGUAGAAGGCAGAUAACAGCGUCGUAGACAUCUCUAGAUCCUGUAAUGGUCGGAAAUACAGGAAGGACCGAACGAUCCCGCUCUCCUCGGAGGGUUUGGAAAAGCCACGACGAGACGGGAGGGGGCCGCGUGCUUCGGAGCCGAAACGGUCCCGGCUCCUUCCCGGCGGGGCGGGCGGGACGGCGGGUGCCGGGCCGAGGCGGCGAGCGGCUGCACAGCAGCGAGCGACCUGCGGGAACUCCGCGGCGCCCCGCGCCGCCUCCAUAUAAACGCCGCCGCCGCGGCCCGCAGGGGCGGGCCCCGCUCCCCCCGCCCCGCUCCGGCCCCCGCCCCGCCCCGAACCGAGCGGCCGGCGGCGGGUGGGGGCUGCUGUGACCCGGGCCGCUCGCACCCCCCCUCCCCCCGGCCGGCCGUCCCGUGACCGCGGGGCAGCGCCGGCCCCGCACCGCCGGGCGGGAGGCGAAGCUCGCGGCUGCAAGGCGCUGUAAGGCGCUCGGUGCUCGCCCGCCCGCCGCCGUGCCCGGCUGCAAACCGCCCACGUCAGCAGGAAGCGCGCGCUGUCAGAGCGCGUUUGCAAACACGGGGGUGGGGUGGGUGCGUUCCUCGGCCGCCCGCGUUGCGUUUUGCCCCGCGCCGCUCUCCCGUGCCACCCCCACCCCCCCCCGGCCCAUCGUGGGCUGGCAGCGGGACCGGCCCUUCCCGCCCCUCCGGGCCCCUCCGAGCUCAGCUCGGCGCCGCGCCGCCCCCUGGCGCCCGCCCCGCGUAACGCUGCCGGCCCCGGGCGAGGGGGGCGCGGCGGUGCCGCCCUCGUGCUGUGCCGCCCCGAGCCCGGCGCCGCUGUUCCCGGCAGUCCGUAGCGAGCUGCAGGGGCCGGGUAAGGGUUAAAGCCCUGCGAGCGGCUGGUGCGCGGUAACUGCGAGCAACGAGACGUGCGUGCGCCAGCGCGGACCUUUAUUUGCACCCUAUAAAGUCAAAGGGGCGCGACGCUUUCGGCCCCGCUCCGCACGCAGCGAGGCACCGUGCUGCCCGGCGCACCCCUGGCCCGUCCUCGGGGCCCACGGAGCUGCUCUCGCUGCUCCCUGAGGGGCUGCCGCUGCGCAGCCGUCCGCGCUCGUCCGGCGCUGCCAGAACGCGAGCUGCCGUCUCACGGGCCACCGCCCGGCGCGGGCGCCCAGCUCUUAUCGCGGCGCUAACUCUCCCCUUUAACCGAGCGGGCGCUUCGCUUUAAGUUACCACACGUCACCCCGAGCCCUGCAAAGUGACAGCGGGCGCUCGGAUUCGCGCUCACGCUCGAGCCCCGCUGCCGUCUCGCGCCCCCGCCAAGCCAGGCCCGGAAGCGCGCCCGCUCCGCAGCAGCGCAGCCCGUACGCCCCAGCUCCGGCCGCCCCAAGGCCGGUGCUGCCGAGCACGGCG
rnacentral:lncRNA from 1 species